GAGGACUGUGAAGCAAUCGGGGCGAGGCCGGGUGUCUGUUCAACUCUCCCGCGUAUCGUCUGUUUCUUCGGCGGCGGACAGUGUUCUGUAAUGUGUCUCCCGUUGCCCGAGCUAAAGGUUUUCCUCGACGGAGUCUUUAGAAUACCGUGGUAGAGGCAGUCUCCACACCACUGUGCUCGAACAGCUCUAUGAAGAGGCCUAUGUGGAGAGGAGAAAAAGCCUCCACCAACAGCCAGCACCAACUUGCCAGCCAUAUGGCGUCUUGCUCUGUCACCCAGGCUGGGGUGCAGUGGUGUGAUCUCAGCUCACUGCAACCUCUGCCUCCUGGGUUCAAGCAAUUCUUCUGCCUCAGCCUCCCAAAGAGCUGUGAUUACAGACGUGUGCCACAAUACCCGGCUAAGUUUUGUAUUUUUAUUAUUAUUUUAUUUAUGUGUUUAUUUAUUUAUUUAUUUAUUUAUUUUGAGAUGGAGUCUUGCUGUGUCGCCCAGGGUGGAGUGCAGUGGUGCGAUCUCUGCUCGCUGCAGCCUCUGCCCCCCAGGCGAUUCUCCUGCCUCAGCCUCCCGAGUAGCUGGGAUUACAGGUGCCCGCCACCAUACCCGGCUAAUUUUUGUAUUUUUAGUAAAGACAGGGUUUUGCCAUGUUGGCCAGGCUGAUCUCGAACUCCUGACCUCAAGUGAUCUGUCUGCCUUGGCCUCCCAAGGCAGGGAGCCUGCUGGGAUUACAGGCAUGAGCCACCACGCCCAGUCAAAAUGUUUUAAAUGUUUCUAUACCACCAUCUGUGUCAAAGAGCAAAUGGUCUCUCUGCAGCUGGAACAACAAAAACUCAAAUGGUCCACACAGUGGUUCAUACCUAUAAGUCACCAAACCUAAACUAAGUUGUUAUCUGACCUUCUGGAAAUGAGAAGAGAUAGAUAACUGCCAGUUUCCCAAACAGGCCAGUUUAAAUCUUCCUGUAAGCAUGAUAAGGAAGUUCCCUCUGAUUUAAUCCUUACACACGAAAAAGUAGCCUUAAAUAACCUGAUAUUAACUCAUCAGUUUUAUUUUUAUUUAUUUAUUUUUUU
rnacentral:lncRNA from 1 species